AGUGAACGCUGGCGGUAGGCCUAACACAUGCAAGUCGAACGGCAGCACAGGAGAGCUUGCUCUCUGGGUGGCGAGUGGCGGACGGGUGAGGAAUACAUCGGAAUCUACCUUUUCGUGGGGGACAACGUAGGGAAACUUACGCUAAUACCGCAUACGACCUACGGGUGAAAGUGGGGGACCGCAUGGCCUCACGCUAUUAGAUGAGCCGAUGUCCGAUUAGCUAGUUGGCGGGGUAAUGGCCCACCAAGGCGACGAUCGGUAGCUGGUCUGAGAGGAUGAUCAGCCACACUGGAACUGAGACACGGUCCAGACUCCUACGGGAGGCAGCAGUGGGGAAUAUUGGACAAUGGGCGCAAGCCUGAUCCAGCCAUACCGCGUGGGUGAAGAAGGCCUUCGGGUUGUAAAGCCCUUUUGUUGGGAAAGAAAUCCCGUCGAUUAAUACUCGGUGGGGAUGACGGUACCCAAAGAAUAAGCACCGGCUAACUUCGUGCCAGCCGCCGCCGUAA
rnacentral:rRNA from 1 species